GUUUCACCGCGUUGGCCAGGCUGGUCUCAAACUCCUGACCUCAAGUGAUCUGCCUGCCUCAGGCUCCCAAAGUGCUGGGAUUACAGGUGUGAGCCACUGCACCUGGCCGGUCAGCAUCUUUUCAACACAGCCAGUCUCUGUGGAAUGAACCCUUCGUGUUCACCUUCCUUACCUGCCCCUGAAGUCCCUCCUUCCUGCAGGGCCCAACUCCACGUAGAGUGAGUGCAGCCACACAGCAGUAACCAGAUAGAGCAGCCUCCCCUGCAGACAUGAGCAAAGAAGGGAUCCAGAGAGCCAAGGCUCUCCAGGAAGUCCCUUCUCACCAGUGGAGGGCGAAGAAGGUUCCUGGACGCCAGGAGAGCCACAAGUCCCACGGAAACGCUCUGUGGAAGACACAAAGCCUUUGGCUUGAUGGGCUUUCUGGGCGCCCGACCCCCGCCCCGGGCCGCCUGCCGCGCUCACCAGCAGCCCCGAGCCGACGGAGAUGACAUUGGCCACGGUGUACUCUGGCGUGACAGCGCCACGGGGAUUGGCCACGUGCCGCAGGACAGUGCCGUGCAGCACAGCCCCCAGCAGCAAGUUCACGUGGCCCACCAGGAUCAGCGCCAGGCCCACGCGCAUCAGCCGCCGGGGCCCCCGGGCGGCGUCUGCAAAGCACGGCAGACAAGUCAGCCGGCUCUGGUCAGCCUAGGGGAGAAGUGCUCAGUGACAUGGGGGCUGAGGAAGAGAAGGCAUGAGGGCAGCCAGGGCAGAUGAAGGCAGAAACCUCACCUCACUAAUGAAGCCCAGCUGUACCAGCUCAGCUGCCAACUCAGGGAUGUUCUCAUCUGACAGAGAAACAGGAGGGGCCAUGGAGACAAUCCACACCCACACAGCCCCCACCUUGCGAGUCUCCACCUCAGCUGGUUCAGGUGUCGGAGUCUUGACAGAGGGAGGCACAACAGGUGAUGUCACCUCCUCCUGCUGUGGCUGCUGGGGCCGAGGCAGCCCAAAGGCUGUCAGAGGAUAGAUCCCAUUCCUGGAAGAAGAUGAAGACAGGUCACAUGGACUCUGUGAAUGCCUUAGGAUACCCAACCCUGCUUGCUUUCUCAAGAAAGCCUGCCUUCUCACUCUGCUCUCACCUGACAUCUUCAAGGAAUUUAUCUAAUUCCAGAGCUGGUGACUGAGAGUACCUGGAGGAGAAAAGAGAAAGGAGAUGGAAGGAAGGAAACAAGCAAAAUAGCAAAUUCAACCAUUCCCAGAGAAUGGACAGUUUACAGAGCCUCAAGAGUGAUAGUGACCAAUUUGCCUCUUUCAGACCCUCUCAGUUACUCACAAAGUCUGAACUGGUUCUCUUCCUGGUCCUGCAGGGAUUUCAGCCAGUACAGCACUGGUAUCCAUGUUUUUGGUGAUCUCCUCCAGAGCAUUCUCUGGGAUCAUGUCUGGAUGGAGUGGGAUGUUAUGAAGGGACAGUCAGAUUAAAUGUCAUAGAAGGCAUGCAGGCAAAGGGGUAAAGAAUCCCUUUGGAGGCCUGGCGCAGUGUCUCAUGCCUGUAAUCCCAGCACUUUGGGAAGCCGAGGUGGACAGAUCACUUGACGCCAGGAGUUCAAGACCAGCCUGGCCAACAUGGCGAAACUCCAUCUCUACUAAAAGUACAGAAAUUAGCCAGGCAUGGUGGCACAUGCCUGUAAUCCCAGCUAUUCGGGAGGCUGAGGCACAAGAAUCGCUUAAGCCCGGGAGCUGGAAAUUGCAAUGAGCUGAGAUCAAGCCAUUGCACUCCAGCCUGGGAGACAGAGUGACACUCUGUCUCAAAAAAAAAAAAAAAAUCCCUUUGGAUAUGGAAGAGGAAAGCAAGCAUGCCAGUGAUAGUUACAGGGUUCCAGACUGGAAGACUAUUCCCCACAGGGCCAAGAGGACUCACGUUGGUGUCCCACAAUGCAGUGGGCAGCAAGGAGUUUGAGCGACGGCACUUCAAACAAUGCUGGGUGGAACAGAAGUUCUCUGGCUGUUGGUCUGCGAGCAGGUUCAGACUGCAGGCACUUUUGAAUGAAUUCCUAGAAAAGAAAAGAAAAGGAACUGGAGCAGGCAUCUGGCAAGCCCCUCAAUGCGUUCAUCUUUAUAACUCUCAUUCUACUUAGCACAAGGCUUUGUACAUAGUAGGGGCUCAGCACUUGCUGAGAAAACAAUAUAUUGAUAAAUGCACCUGAAAGGGCUUCAAAAACUCAAGAUAUUAUAUGAAAGACACCA